rnacentral:rRNA from 1 species
CGCCUGAGUAGUACGUUCGCAAGAAUGAAACUCAAACGGAAUAAACGGGGACCCGCACAAGUGGUGGAGCAUGUUGCUUAAUUCGACGGUACACGAAAAACCUUACCUAGACUUGACAUAUUGGGCGAAGCUAUAGAAAUAUAGUGGAGGUCAACCCAAUGACAGGUGGUGCAUGGUUGUCGUCAGCUCGUGUCGUGAGAUGUUGGGUUAAGUCCCGCAACGAGCGCAACCCUUAUCGUUAGUUACUUUGUCUAACGAGACUGCCAACGUAAGUUGGAGGAAGGUGGGGAUGACGUCAAAUCAUCAUGCCCCUUAUGUCUAGGGCUGCAAACGUGCUACAAUGGACAAUACAAAUACAUGCAAAUCACCACCAGCGGAUCUAAUCCGUAAAGUUGGUCUCAAUUAUGAUUGAGGGCUGCAAUUUUUUCUCAUCAACUCGGAAUCACUAGUAAUCUUUUUAUCAUUUAUGUCGCGGUGAAUACGUUCUCCGGGUUUUGUGGGGGGGGGGCAAAAACCCCCCCCC